rnacentral:rRNA from 1 species
GUAGUUAGCCGGGGCUUCCUCCUCAGGUACCGUCAUUUGUUUCUUCCCUAAGGACAGAAGUUUACAAUCCGAAGACCUUCUUCCUUCACGCGGCGUUGCUGGGUCAGACUUUCGUCCAUUGCCCAAUAUUCCCCACUGCUGCCUCCCGUAGGAGUCUGGGCCGUAUCUCAGUCCCAGUGUGGCCGUUCAACCUCUCAGUCCGGCUACCCAUCGCAGACUUGGUGAGCCGUUACCUCACCAACGAUCUAAUGGGACGCGAGCCCAUCCAUCAGCGCCCGAAGGCUUUGACCUCGUCAUCAUGUGAUGUCGUGGUCUUAUGCGGUAUUAGCAUCCGUUUCCAGAUGUUAUCCCCCUCUGAUGGGCAGGUUGUUCACGCGUUACUCACCCGUUCGCCACUAAAGUAUCAACCGAAAUCAAUACUUCCGUUCGACUUGCAUGUGUUAGGCACGCCGCCAGCGUUCGUCCUGAGCCAGAAUCAAACUCUGA